AGAGGGACCAGCUACAAUCAUCCAAGCAUGCGCAAAUGAGUUCUACUACUCUGGAAUUUCCCACCAAGAGUCACGACCGUCACGACGUUGUUUGUGGUAUUUUGUUUCAGGCUUAAAACUAAAUGCAGUGCCGCUAUUGUAAAUGUACACAUCUGCAGCAAGACAUCCUGCUUACUGUAGCUAUUUCAUGCCAUGAACAUGGGGAUCCUGGAAGUAACUGACAGUUCUACCAACUCAGGACCAUAUCCCACAGUGGUCAAUGUGGCUGUAGUACUGGAGGAGGAAGUUGUCAUGGACAAUCUGGGAGACUUCCCAAAUGCCCUCAUGAUGCUCUUUGGUCUGCUUUAUGCUCUUUGGUCUGCUUUAUGCUCUAAAUAUGGAGUACCCUAAGGACUUAAGGUACACAUUCAAGGCAGUCCAGACGAUUCUCUUAAACCUGGGGAAAAGUGCACAGCAAGGAUACAGUCCUUGAAGAAAGAGUUAUUACAGGUGUAAUGGUCAUUACAGUACAUGUUAAUUGCCAGUCAUUGAGGUAUUUUGAGGUAUCAAAGGUUUCAUGCAAAUGUUUCUGUUAAA